GCAGAGAUGAGGAGCGAGACGCGGGUCCAUGGCAGGUACUGGUCCGUGGCAGGUACUGGUCCGUGGCAGAUACUGGUCCGUGGCAGGUACUGGUCCGUGUCAGGUACUGGUCCGUGUCAGGUACUGGUCCGUGGCAGAUACUGGUCCGUGGCAGGUACUGGUCCGUGGCAGGUACUGGUCCGUGGCAGGUACUGGUCCGUGGCAGGUACUGGUCCGUGGCAGAUACUGGUCCGUGGCAGGUACUGGUCCGUGGCAGAUACUGGUCCGUGGCAGGUACUGGUCCGUGGCAGGUACUGGUCCGUGGCAGGUACUGGUCCGUGGCAGAUACUGGUCCGUGGCAGAUACUGGUCCGUGGCAGAUACUGGUCC
ensembl:lncRNA